AGGGGAAAGGUGGACAUGAAAACCUGUCAGCUUUUCAAUGAGCUUUAAUUUGUGUUCCUUAAGUGCAUCGAAGGAUGUAAACAGGGCACGUGAGAGAUUCCAGGGGACGGCGAACUAUUGCUGGUUUGUUGGUUUUAAUUCAAAAAAAAAGAAGAAAUGAUGAGGUCAAUGGCUUGGACUAACAGUAGCUUUGGGGGAAGGAGAGAAGAGAGGGGAAAAAAA